rnacentral:rRNA from 1 species
GACGAACGCUGGCGGCGUGCUUAACACAUGCAAGUCGAACGGAAAGGCCCUGCUUUUGUGGGGUGCUCGAGUGGCGAACGGGUGAGUAACACGUGAGUAACCUGCCCUUGACUUUGGGAUAACUUCAGGAAACUGGGGCUAAUACCGGAUAGGAGCUCCUGCUGCAUGGUGGGGGUUGGAAAGUUUCGGCGGUUGGGGAUGGACUCGCGGCUUAUCAGCUUGUUGGUGGGGUAGUGGCUUACGAAGGCUUUGACGGGUAGCCGGCAUGAGAGGGUGACCGGCCACAUUGGGACUGAGAUACGGCCCAGACUCCUACGGGAGGCAGAAGUGGGGAGUAUUGCACAGUGAGCCGAAGCCUGAGGCGGCAGCGCCGCGUGCGGGAUGCCGGCCUUCGGGUUGUAAACAGAUUUCGCCUGUGACGAAGCGUGAGUGACGGUAAUGGGUAAAGAAGCACCGGCUAACUACGUG